AUUGAACGCUGGCGGCAUGCCUUACACAUGCAAGUCGAACGGUAACAGGUCUUCGGAUGCUGACGAGUGGCGAACGGGUGAGUAAUACAUCGGAACGUGCCUAGUAGUGGGGGAUAACUACUCGAAAGAGUGGCUAAUACCGCAUGAGAUCUACGGAUGAAAGCAGGGGAUCGCAAGACCUUGUGCUACUAGAGCGGCCGAUGGCAGAUUAGGUAGUUGGUGGGAUAGAAGCUUACCAAGCCGACGAUCUGUAGCUGGUCUGAGAGGACGAUCAGCCACACUGGGACUGAGAAACGGCCCAGACUCCUACGGGAGGCAGCAGUGGGGAAUUUUGGACAAUGGGCGCAAGCCUGAUCCAGCAAUGCCGCGUGCAGGAUGAAGGCCUUCGGGUUGUAAACUGCUUUUGUACGGAACGAAAAGCCCCGGGUUAAUACCCUGGGGUCAUGACGGUACCGUAAGAAUAAGCACCGGCCAACUACGUGCCAGCCGCCGCCGUAA
rnacentral:rRNA from 1 species